rnacentral:rRNA from 1 species
UAAGGUCAAGUUAUUAAGGGUAUAAGGUGAAUGCCUUGGGUCCAAAAGCCGAAGAAGGGCGUGGCAAGACUGCGAUAUGCCUCGGUUAGUUGUCUAGCAAACUUAGCCGUGGAUUCCCGAAUAGGAAAACCAAGCUUUUACUAAAGCUAUUUUAAAUUUAUUUAAAAUGGGAACGGAGUGAACUGAAACAUCUAAGUAACUCCAGGAAAAGAAAUCAAAUGAGAUUCUCUGAGUAGCGGCGAGCGAAAUGAGAAUAGCCCAAACCUUUUUGACUUAGUGGAUUGGAGUCCUAUGUCAUAAAGGUGUUGUAACAUCUACUUAUCUCAUCUCCAAAGUGAGAAAAAUAGUUACAAAAAUAAAAGCUAGCUGAAUGAAUCUGGAAAGAACAACCAUAGAAAGUGAUAGUCUUGUAAGCGAAAGUUUUUAUUCUAUUAGUAGAUUGUUGAGUAGAGCGGGACACGUGAAAUCCUGCCUGAAUCUGGGGGGACCAUCCUCCAAGGCUAAAUACUUUUGGACACCGAUAGUGAACUAGUACCGUGAGGGAAAGGUGAAAAGAACCCCGGGAGGGGAGUGAAAUAGACCUGA